ACCCUCCUGAUUCCUUACUCCUCAGAUCUAAAUAUUGGUCUGAGUGGCUUAAAAAAGAGAAAAUGUAAAGCUGAGGUGGACUUGGAGUCUUUAAUGUCUUACAAGUGUAUUUAAAACAUAA
rnacentral:snoRNA from 1 species